rnacentral:rRNA from 1 species
GAUGACGGGACCGCACAAGCAGCGGAGCGUGUGGUUUAAUUCGUUGCUACACGAAGAACCUUACCUGGGCUUGACAUAUAGGUUGUAGGGAACUGAAAGGGACCGACCCUUCGGGGAGCCUAUACAGGUGUUGCAUGGCUGUCGUCAGCUCGUGUCGUGAGAUGUUCGGUUAAGUCCGCUAACGAGCGCAACCCUCGUCGUAUGUUAUAUGUGUCAUACGAGACUGCCGGUAAAAGCCGGAGGAAGGUGAGGAUGAUGUCAAGUCAGCAUGACCUUUAUAUCCAGGGCUACACACACGCUACAAUGGUCUGUACAAUGGGUAGCCAAGCCGCGAGGCGGAGCCAAUCCUGAAAGCAGGCCUCAGUUCAGAUUGCAGUCUGCAACUCGACUGCAUGAAGCCGGAGUUGCUAGUAACCGCAGGUCAGCAAUACUGCGGUGAAUACGUUCCCGGGUCUU